rnacentral:rRNA from 1 species
AUGCCACCUGGUGUGCAAAGGGUCCUCAAGGUGAGGCAUGUGGUGCCCUUUCGGAAUGUCGUUUUCUUCUUCCUUGCAUCUCAAAUGCAAGCAACCAUGCUUCUACCGAGGCUUAGAAGAAACAAAGAUGCUGUUGUCAAGAAUUUCACCCCACCCAUUGCAUUGGAUAUCACCUCUGGCUGCAGCAGUAGUGUGUCAAUCUAG